rnacentral:sRNA from 1 species
AAUAACCUUUUGUGAGCUGGAAUGAUGCAUUUUGCUGCACAUCUAAUCCUUUAUAAAAGUCACGUUUUCCUUGUAUCAAACAUUUCUAGUUUUCUCCCUUUGACGAUUCCUUUUCCAACCUAUCGUUUAAACAUUAUGCUUUUCGUUCGAUUAUUUAUUUUAGAAAGUUCUCUUGUAUUAAUGCUUUUGACACGCUAACUGCACUUUAAAACUUUAUUUUGGUUUCUUGAGUGACGUUGUUUUUCACACUUGAAUUUCAACUAGGUACUCCCUUUUUGGAACUUCUCUUUGGACUUUAAAACUAUAUUUUAGUUCUGUAAUCUCAAUUUCCUAAAUUUUUUAUGUACUUAUGCUUACUGGUUCGUGAAAAUAUUGCUUGCAUUUAGUCCUUGCGGCUUUUUUGUGCUCUGAUGUUUUAAUCGUAGACUUAUAACUAAGUUCUAGAGUUAUGUUUCCCUGUUUAUCGAAAAAAUAUCUUGGUUGCGGUCUAGACGUCUACAUUUGGUUGCAUCCUGUUGAUUUUAUGAUAACCGUAGUUUGCUUGUUCCGAACGAUUUAUAGGUUUCUUCGUUGACGCUUCAUUUUUCAUCCAUAAGUUUAAUUUUUUUACAUUUAGUUGGAUUCCUUGAUUCUGUAAUGUUCUUCUUGCAUCGAUUCUUCAAAUAACCUUUUUGGAGUUUCCAAUUUUUUUCUGUUGUCAUGGUUCAUCUUAAGGUUGUUUGAACAUUGUUUUCUGGUUUAUAAAAACAAAAUAUUCUUUUGCAUUGAAGCCUAAUUGAUUUAUUUUGCUCUUAUAAUUGAGUUGUAGAGUUGAGUCUCCCUGUUUAUCGAAAACAAAUAACUUUGUUGUGAGCUGGGCCCAUGCAUUUUGUUGCACCUUGAAGCUUUUAUGAAAAUCAAGGUUUCCUUGUGUCGAACAUUUCUAGGAUUCUCCCUUGACGAUUCAUUUUUUGUCCUUUCGUUUAAACCUACUGCAUUUAGUUGGAUUUCUUUAUUUUCGAGCGUUCUCUUGUAUUAAUGCUUUUGACAUGCUAUUUGGUCUUUAAAACUUUAUUUUGGUUUCUCGAGUGAUGGUUGUUUUUUCAUCCUUGAGUUUCGGUUUAGUUCUGCUAGUUUGAUUUCUUCAAUUACAAAGUUUCUCUUUCUUUAUCUUCUCUUUGGACAUUAAAUCUUUAUUUUAGUUCUGAAAUCUCAGUUUCUGAAAUUUUGUUUGAACUUAUGAUUAAUAAUUUUUCACAAGAACAUAUUUGUGUGCAUUUAAACCUUGUGGGGUUUUUUUGUGCUAUGUCGUUUUAAUUUUGGCCUUAUAAUUAAAUUCUAGAGUUACGCCUCCUUUUUAUC